rnacentral:rRNA from 1 species
UACGAAGGGGGCUAGCGUUGCUCGGAAUUACUGGGCGUAAAGGGCGCGUAGGCGGCAAUUCAAGUCAGCUGUGAAAUCUCCGAGCUUAACUCGGAACGGUCAGCUGAUACUGUUUUGCUAGAGUGCAGAAAGGGCAACCGGAAUUCUUGGUGUAGCGGUGAAAUGCGUAGAUAUCAAGAGGAACACCUGCGGCGAAGGCGGGUUGCUGGGCUGACACUGACGCUGAUGCGCGAAAGCCAGGGGAGCGAACGGG